rnacentral:rRNA from 1 species
GACGAACGCUGGCGGCGUGCUUAACACAUGCAAGUCGAACGGAAAGGCCCUGCUUUUGUGGGUUGCUCGAGUGGCGAACGGGUGAGUAACACGUGAGUAACCUGCCCUUUACUUUGGGAUAACUUCAGGAAACUGGGGCUAAUACCGGAUAGGAGCUCCUGCUGCAUGGUGGGGGUUGGAAAGUUUCGGCGGUUGUGGAUGGACUCGCGGCUUAUCAGCUUGUUGGUGGGGUAGUGGCUUACCAAGGCUUUGACGGGUAGCCGGCCUGAGAGGGUUACCGGCCACAUUGGGACUGAGAGACGGCCCAGACUCCUACGGGAGGCAGCAGUGGGGAAUAUUGCACAAUGGGCGGAAGCCUGAUGCAGCAACGCCGCGUGCGGGAUGACGGCCUUCGGGUUGUAAACCGCUUUCGCCUGUGACGAAGCGUGAGUGACGGUAAUGGGUAAAGAAGCACCGGCUAACUACGUG